rnacentral:lncRNA from 1 species
UCUAAAAUCCAAUCACCAAUCCUAUUUAUUAUUCCAUCAAAGGUUUGACGUAAAGUGUUUUUUAUUUCGUUUGUGGUAAUAAUAAUUAAAGCCUUUGAUUGAAAAUAAGCUGAAAUAUAUAUUGUAACUGUUUUACUAAUUUUUGCAAAAGUUAUUUUUAAACAAGAUUUAUUUUUAUACCUUUUAAGGUAGUAGACUGGUCAGGCUUUUUUCACUGCAUACGGUAGUUGUUUUGAAAAAAAAAAACAACAACACUUCUCGAACCCGCGCAAAGAUGGAAAACAUUACGAAAUUAUUGAAAGAACGGAGAUAGACAGCAAACAAGCACUUAUUUUCGUGUUUUACAGCGUCUUUCCGUGAUUUAAAUUUACGACAUCAUGAAUUACCUCCCUUCACGCGGCAACUGCUUUACAGCGCAGCAGGAAUGUCCAUGUAAACAAAACAAUGUUCUUUUUGAAAUCUGCAAAGAAUAGAAUGAGGGAAGCGAUGAAAGAGAGGUGAAGGCGGAAGUUCGAGGAAGUGUAACAGAACCACCGAUUACAACAAUGUCAAUGGAUCUCGAUCUUGUCUACAAGAAGUUGAAUGUGUCACCAGGACAACACACUUUAACACUUGCAGCAUUGAAAGACAAUCAGCAUACAAAGCGUAGACAGUACCAAAGUACAGUGGAAGCCAAACAGUUGAGGAGGCAAAAUAAAGAUAAAAGG